AGCAUUAUGUCUGAAAAAGUAAUAAACUGUAAAUUUAUUUAUAAAAAUGUAUAAUUUUUUAAUGCUA
rnacentral:tRNA from 1 species